rnacentral:rRNA from 1 species
AUACGUAGGGGGCAAGCGUUGUCCGGAAUUACUGGGCGUAAAGGGCGUGUAGGCGGCCGAGCAAGUCAAGUGUGAAGAGCCCCGGCUUAACCGAGGCAUUGCACAUGAAACUGCUUGGCUUGAGUGCAGGAGAGGGAAGUGGAAUUCCUAGUGUAGCGGUGAAAUGCGUAGAUAUUAGGAGGAACACCAGUGGCGAAGGCGACUUCCUGGACUGUAACUGACGCUGAGGCGCGAAAGCGUGGGUAGCAAACAGGAUUAGAUACCCUGGUAGUCCACGCCGUAAACGAUGGGUACUAGGUGUGGGUAGUUCACUCUAUCCGUGCCGCAGCAAACGCAAUAAGUACCCCGCCUGGGGAGUACGGCCGCAAGGUUGAA